rnacentral:lncRNA from 1 species
UUUUCUUUUAUUUCUUUAAUGGUUACAGUUUCAUAAAAUAUACAAAUGGUUUCUAAAUUAGUAUUACUAUAUUUAUUACUGCCACAUUAAUUUGGGUAACUAAACAAAAUAGUUUAACAUUUUAUAAAUAACAAAAGGCAUUUAUUAAAUUGGUUAUGAUGUUGUCUCAUUCACAUUUGAGUAUUUAAACAUUUUAUAAAAGGGUGGUUUCUCCACCAUAAUUACCUAUGCAUUAUUUGGUACAACCCGAACAUUUUAGUUUUAUUGUUUUAAAACUUUUGUCGUUUGCCUUAAUUCAUAUUUGAAUUUAAAUCGGUUUUGAACUAACGCGAGAUUAGCAACGGUAACCGAGGUGAUGUGGCAUCAUUAGCAGAGGUUUACUAUAGCUUAAUUAUCCAGGCGUCACAAUCGUCUCAUCUCCCCACCAUAUUAUAUCUCUCCAAUGAAUAGACCUGGUCCGCACAUCUCAUCUUCCCAUCCCACCUAUAUUCUUGAUCCAGUCGUAGCCGUCGGAAUAGAGCUUCGACGCGCGACCUCAUCCUGCCAAGAUGGGCCUCGCACCUUGAUGCUGCGCCUGGACGACAGCGCUUGGCUGACGCCUCGUAUCGGCUUUGCCCCUCAGUCGUGCAGCCCGUCGUCCAGCCCCUGAGGCACUCCUCCCUUUGCCCUGGCAUGAAGAACGCCGAUCUGUCGAUCCCGGUUGGCGUGACUGCGACAAGAGAAAAUAAGAGGGGCUCCUUGCGGCUGGGCUCUACUUGCCUCUACCAAAAUAUUUUCUUUGCUCAUGUCCCCGUGCACUCUCAAUCAUGCCGAAACAUCACUAGCGCGGUAGGAAGCUUGUGGGAUUUCAUUGCAAUGCGCAAGCUGAACUGCUCUAGCAUUGGCGUCAAUGUUCUCGUCAGCAAGGUACGUGGGAUUCAGUAUUGUAUUACUCUUACCCUAAUUACUUUUACAUCACCGAAUCUGAAGAUCGUUGAAAUUAUUGGUUGAAUGAUCUGUCCUGUUGCAGUUCAUUCAGAUUUGCGAAUUGGGUUUUAUUCAGAACAGUUUUGAUCUAUAUUUCCAGGAGCAGUAUUGAUCUAUAUUUUUCGUUGACCUACCAAUAUUGUGUUAAUGAAAUAAAAUGGAAUGGAUAAGAAGGGGUUACUUAAGCCUUCACAAUCAGAAUUCUUACCACAUACAUGGUGAUGGGUUACACUCCUUUUAGAUUGGACAAUGCGAUUUUGGUUUUCUUUUCAUUUGUCUGAGACAAGUGUUUUUGCUAAUAUACAUAUUUGUUUGUCUCAUAAUUUUUCAGCAAUGGUAUUGAUGUGUAAUGGCAUGACACCCUUUUCGCCUUUACAGUGGACACCCUGUUAGCGUUAUGGUUUAUUAUUUGUUACUUACAAUAUUUUGAUCCAUUGUUGGUUUCAGAACUGAACGCAAGAUUAGUUAGCAUCCAUGCAUCAGAGGGAGUAUUCCACAUGCAAGUAACACUAAUGGCCACAGUUAGUGAUCAUAUCUGAUCUGGCAAAGGUACCCAUUCAUCAUUUGUUUGUGAGACCAUAUAACUGAAGUGAGACUUUUACCAUUGAUUUGUUGGAGAUGCUUUAUGAUAUGUCGUGCUUCACAACUGAAACAUACUUCACAGCCUCCUUCUCCUGCCCGUAGGCAAGCCGUAUCUACACAGAAGGGGCUCGCACUAGAGUACUGGAGCUGCGACGUCCUGGCCACUCAUGCUUGCAGCUGCCACCGCAAUCUAUGCAUAUGCAUUGAGCAUCAAACAUAUAAUCCUGGUCUUGGCACGACCGCCUAAUGUGAGCUUGGCACAACCAAUGUUGGCAAGGCACGCGAUGAAUGUCAAUUCCCCAGUGCAUGCUUGACGAUACUUUUGAUCUGUAUGUUUGUCGUGCUUAUGGCGAUCUCCUGGUCUCCGCCCGCCUGCCUCUAUCCUUUCUAUGGGUGUGAUGCGAUGGUGAAACUCCCUGGUCCUCACAAGGUAGGUAAAAAUUUCAAACUAGGAUAUUUUUCUGCAGAUUUAUUUAGCAUAAAUUAAUAAAUUAAGGGAAUACCUAUAUAUAUGUACUUUGCUGCAGGAGAUAGCCCAUUGGACCAUGGAAGUGAGGUUCCAGUUAAGUCUAUAAGUCGAGGCUACCUGCAUCUAAUUUUGGUUUUCUGUUCAACCCUAAUAGGAAAGAUGAGCUUGCUUGGAAUAAGACUCCAUGGGAAGGGCAUCAACUUGAAUGGUUUGGACGUCAAAUAACUAGAAUUUGGUCAUUUCAUGCACAUAUUGUGCUUAUGAUUUUACUGUUUUUCUGUGUAAUGAGCAUUGCUCUGUAAGCUACAUAAAGUCUUAUUUUUUAUCUAUAUUCGCAUACUACUAUGUUGCAAACUUGUAGCCAUUGAAGUCUACAGAUAUUUGUUAUUAGCUUAGCUUAGCCGGUAAAUCUGUUUGUUCUUACGAGGCAAAAAAUAUCUAUGAUGAAAGUGGUAUACAACAUCUUGCUUACGGAUUAAAAUUUCUUGUACUUUCAGUUUGGAAAGACAAAGUGUUGUGCAAAACAUAAUAAUAUUCUAUAUAUAAUGUAAUUGUUCAUACAUAUCAUACUUUAUGCUAUGCAACUUUCAUAUGUAUGUGUUGUUCACGUUUGCCAAAAGCUUGGGUAACCUAAACAAAGUUUCACCAGGUUGUUUAGUCCAGCUAUA